CCCGGACCUCCCGGUCAGCCCGCCCAGCUCGCUGUGUGACGUCGGCGGCAUCCAAUGAGCAGGGGGAUUUCGCCCUACCGCGCCCCUCCGCUGGCCAGGGAAACCAAUCGAGUUUCAGGAGAGACAGGACGCUCCAAGUCCCGAAAGAAGAGCGGGGGGUGGGAAGGAGUUGGCAGUGCCGUAGUAUAAUACUCUGCUGAGCGGGGAUUCCGAAGGCAGCGACAGCUUCAGUAAUUACGCCGCGGCCCAAAAGGGAGAACAGGACCGGAGGGACGCGCUGGAGCCUGUUUAUAUCCCUGUCUGGACCGCGCCAGGCGGGGAGGCUGAGGCCGAGGUGAACGGCCUCGGGCUUGCCGCAGCUGCGGAGAUAAAUGUUGGGAGUUGGACGGGGUGGGGGCUAGGGAAAUGAGUUGGGGAUCGGUGGGAGGACGCACGAUGGGUUUCCUGUUUCCGACCUUUAGAAUUUAAAAGCCUGACCCAGGAGGACUUUGGCGUCUAGUUGUCAUAACAACCGGCUGACCGGCGGCAGGAAGGGGUGGGGGUCGGAGCUUUGGGCGGGGCUAACAGGCUGCAGCCAAGAAACGGACGUGGAGGCAGUCAGGAUUCGGAGGGAGCUGCUGUUUCGUGCAGCGUUUAGCGUAAACCUUGUCUGCUGGGUGAGCCAAGCUCCUCAACUUGGCGUUCAGGACCCUUCACGGUCUUGUCCGUUUGCACCGUAUAUUCCAGCAACUGAAAACUUCUUCCCACACAUGUUGGGCACUUUUCACUCUGAGCUCUUACGUGCUCUUCCCGCAGCCUGUAAUGCCUUUUCCUCCCCUAUUGCCUUGUCCUCCUGGAGAACUUAGAGUCUCUGGUAGUCCCCUUCACCUGGGUGAUUCUGUUGCCCUCUGACCUGACCUGCAGCCGGAGAACAUCCCGUGACGUAUAUACCAGAUAUGUCCCCACUCUGCUGUUCCCAGGUCAGGUGCACCAAGCUCCUGCCCCACUCCUGUGAGCACAGAAGAAGUAAGAAGCCCCCACUCACCUGCUGCUUUCCUGAUGGGAACUAGGGCUGGGGCAGGAGUGUUCUUUUCCCAUUUUAUGGUUACAGAGGGCUCUCAGGCUGCAAGUACUCUCCAGACACUGGCUCUGAAGUACCAUCACCCCACAUUUCUAAGCCCCCUUGACCCCUGAGGGACUGGGCCUUCUGUUAGACUCUGGGACGUGUUGCCUAAGUGCCUGGGUAUAAGGGGUUAAUUUGAGUGUCAACUCCAAAAAAAGUGUCCGCGGGACUCCAAAAUGUCUCUAGUCUGUUCCUUUGUAAGGGGGCAGUAAAGAGUAGUGGGGCUUGAAAUCCCCUCUGACUUUGAUACAAAUUCUGUCUUUGUCUUUACUAAUGAUAUAAUCUCAGCCUAUAAAAUGUAGAUAAUAAUAGUGUCUGUUGUAUGGGAUAUACAUAGUUUACAAAUAUCUGUAUGUCAUAUACAUGUAUCAUUCUGUAUAUCAUCCAUAUACCUACACAUCAAGUACAUAUAUCAUUAUAUAUCAAUACAUAUAUCUAUAUAUUAUCAUAAAAUAUCACUAUGUACAUACAUCUGCAGGCUCCAUACUGCACUACACACACAUACACACUUGCACCCACACACACACACACACACACAAUGCAGGGCACAGUGCCUGGCCCUCAGUAACAGGAACCUGCAGACUAGAAGGAAGAAGGGGUGGGUGGUCUCCCAAUCUGUUUUCAUCCCCCAAGGCAAGGGAUGGUAUAUGCUUUGAAAAGGCAGCCCCCUGAGCUCUUGACCCUUUGCUCCUGGACCCUCUCACCUCACUCCAUGUCCUCCGCAAGGUUCCUUGGAUGAGGGCACACCGAGAAGCAUCCCAUGGCAUCCCAUGACAAAGAUGUGGGGCCCUUACUGCCCAAUCCCUGGGACGCCAUCCUUGAGGCCGUCAAGGAGCAGCUCCCAUCUCUGGACUCAGAUUCCUCCUCGUCAAACUGCGAGGAAGAGGAGCUGUUCAUCUUCCAGCGAAAUCAAACCGCCCUGAUUCCAGACUUGUCAGAAGAACUGGCCGAAGACCCUGACGGGGCCUGGGUCACUUCCUCUGGGUCUCCUCCUGAGCCAGCUGUAGUGCCUGUGGAAUCCGCCGGGGAACCCAGGGGAGAGUGGAACGCUGGGCCCCAGGCCCAGGAGUCAGUCUCUCUGGAAGGAAGGGCCCCUGGCAGGCCUUUGCAGAGCAGUGAUGAGAGCAGCUCUCUUCUCAGGAUACCUGUGGAGACCCCCACGUGGCAGGAUGACGAUGGGGACACAGCCUUCAACACCAGUACAUCACAGAGUCCUUGCCAGGGGCCACAGGGAGAGGCCACUCUCUCCUCUCAGGAAGCAGGCCUGCAGACAGAGCCCCCAGGCGCUGCCUCAUGGGCCCAGGAGGGCUCAGACUCUGCAAACCGCAGAGCCCUCCGGAGGGAGAGAAGGAAGAUGAUCGAGAAAGACAUACUUCACAAAGUCACCUGGGAUGCCCAGGACCCAGCCUGCCAAGACCUGAGUGGAGUGAAGGAGAUGCCCUGUGAUGCUGCGGAAACGCUGCCAGAGGGGCCCCAGCGGGGACCGCCCUUGCUCUCCCUCCAGCAACUUGAAGAGUGGGAUUUGGAUCAAGUCCUUCAGAGUCUGACAGGGCGAGAAGAACUGGGAGAUGGCGCUUCUGGAGCCGCGUGGUGGGCAGCAGACCGCCUCCAGGGCCAAGGUCUGACCUUGCACGCCGGGGCCCAAGUGCAUACCCACAAGUGGCUCCUUCCAGGGCCUCCCAAUAGAAUAGGGCAAUGGGCUGGGCACAGUCAGCCCAGCAGCUCGCCACAUCUGCUGCGCCUCUCUGCUGCUCAGCCCUCGCCGUCCUGCACACCCAGGAUGCAAGACUUUAUCCACCCAUCCAUUCACUCACUGACACUCAUUCAUUCAUCCAUUACAUAUGUGACUGCCUGCUAUGUUCCUGGGGUGGACCAAGCGUUGGGGAUACGAGAGGAAGCCCUUCAGACAGGGUCCCUGCCUUUUCUUCCCCCCCACCUCCUCAGGCCUGCGUCUCUUUCUUUCUGGGAGCAAAGUAAUCCUGCAUUUGGUACCCCUUCAGCCCACUUCUAAACAGAAUCUUGUUUCCACCGCCUCCACGUUUACCAAACAAAGCCAGGGAUGAUUCCUUCAUUGCACUUGUGGCCUCACUCUGGGCAGUUUCAUAAAAAAGUUCCCUGUCCCCUCCUGGCCACUCUGGCCCACAAAGGUGAGUGGAGGCGGGUCUGAGGCAAAGGUGCUGCGGGGGUUCUGGCCUCCCGUUCCAGAGCAAAGGCUCCUUUGUGGCCAAGAGCCCCUGGUGCUAUUUUAAAAAGGGCUUUGUUUGGAAUUUAACCCCUUAGAGCAGGAUAUGGAGAAACUCACUCUCCUACAAGUUGGGGCAGGGCUGGGGGGCUGUAGUUGGUGCCCCCUUUUGGCGGGCAAUGUGGCAGAAUCUGUUCUCCAUUUAAAGGCACAUAAGCCUUUGAUUAAGCUAUUCACUCCACUUCUAAAGGCUGUCCUAAACACACCCUCACAGAUGUUCAUUGCAACAUUGUUCAUACUUGUGAAAAACUGGAAGCAAACCACAUUCAACAUUCAGUAGGAGUCUAGCUAAUCAGUCAACCAGAGAAUUCUCUGCAGCUCAACAAAUGGAAUCUAUCUAUCUAUCUAUCUAUCUAUCUAUUCAUUUCUCUCAACACAGAAAAAUGUAAAAUAUAUUCAGUAAAAAAAAAAAAUCUAUAGAGGAUGAUCCCAUUGCUUCUUAAAAAAAAAAAAGAAAAGCAAAUACGCAGAACUGUUAUUGAUGGUUCCCUCUGACAAGUGGGACCGGAGUGAGAACGUGGACUACACUGUUAACAGGACGUCACCCCUGCUUCCCGGGCUCACACACAGCUCCCUGCUCAAGAAGACAGCGCCCCUCGCCCUGCUGAGCUGGAGGGGGCGACACAAAAGCUACCAUGCCAAGCCAAGCACCCAGGACAGGCUCAUGGAACAACUCACCCUCCUAUGUGCCAUGCAGUCCAGAGCCUUUUCCUCUGCCUGGAGGGUGCCUUCUGACAUGCCCCAGGACAUCAAGCCGCAGGAGGCCGG